AUCUACGGUCAUGUCCCCCUUCAAUAAGCCUGAUCUCAUUUGAUCUUGGGAGUUAAGCAGGGUCACAGGGUUGGGUGGAGUUAGUACUGAGAUGGGAGAAAGGUGGUCCACUGGGAUU
rnacentral:rRNA from 1 species